GGGCCCGGGGCGGGGGGUGGGGACGGGCCGUGCGGCGCGGGGGCGGCUCGCGCGCUGUCGGGAGCGGGCGGAGCCGGAGCGGGAGCCGGAGCGAGGUCUGGAGGCCCGGUGCAGGCGGCGGCGCUGGCCGUGCGGCUGCGCAUUCCUCACUCUCAGCUGGUGAAGGAUGGGGGAGCUGGAAGGAACAUACCGCGUCCUGCAGACCCCAGGGACACGUCUGGGCUCCCCGACCCCCGCGGGCAUCAGCACCCUGGAGCCUGGGCAGGGCCCCUUGGCUGCAGCGGUGCGGCCAACGGCCAGGACGCACGUCCAAGUGCAGCUGCUGGAUGACUCCGUCGAGGUGUUUGACAUUGAGCCUAAGUGCAACGGCCAGGUGUUGCUGACGCAGGUGUGGGGGCGCCUGAACCUGAUAGAAUGCGACUACUUCGGCUUGGAGUUUCAGAACGCCCAGUCCUGCUGGAUCUGGCUUGAACCCAUGAAACCCAUCGUUAGACAAGUGCGAAGGCCAAAGAAUGCAGUGCUUCGCCUGGCAGUGAAAUUUUUCCCACCUGAUCCGGGUCAGUUGCAAGAAGAAUAUACACGAUACUUGUUUGCCCUGCAACUGAAGAGAGACCUGCUGGAGGAGCGUCUGACCUGCACAGACACCACGGCCGCCCUCCUGGCGUCACACCUCCUGCAGGCGGAAAUAGGCGAUUACGAUGAGGCGCUGGACCGGGAGCACCUGCAGGCCCGCGAGUACCUGCCGCGGCAGGAGCGCGCCCUGGGGCGCAUCCUGCAGUUCCACCGCCAGCACGCGGGCCAGACGCCAGCCGAGUCGGAUUUCCAGGUGCUGGAAAUUGCCCGGAAGCUGGAGAUGUAUGGCAUCCGGUUUCACACGGCUUCUGACCGGGAGGGGGCCAAGAUCAACCUGGCUGUUUCCCACAUGGGCAUCCUCGUCUUCCAGAGCAGCACCAAGAUCAACACCUUCAACUGGUCCCGCGUGCGAAAGCUCAGCUUCAAGAGGAAAAGGUUUCUUAUCAAACUCCACCCAGAGGCCCAUGGGCCUCACCAGGACACCCUGGAAUUCGUGCUGGGGAGUAGAGACGCAUGUAAGAACUUCUGGAAGAUCUGUGUGGAGUAUCACACCUUCUUUAGACUUUUUGAUCAGCCGAAGCCAAGAGCUAAAGCCGUCCUCUUCAGCAGAGGCUCCUCCUUCAGAUACAGUGGAAGAACUCAGAAGCAGCUGGUGGAUUAUGUCAAAGAUGGUGGGAUGAAGAGGAUUCCGUACGAAAGAAGGCGCAGCAAGACCCGGAUGUCUCUCCGCGCCCCCAGCGCCGACGUGCUGAGGCAGAGCGUCUCGUUCACCGAGGGCAUGAGGACUCCUGCUUCCCCGUCUUCAACAGGCGCCUCCUUCCAUUCGGUCCCCACCUCCCCUCCAGCCCUUCCGUGCCUGCUCCACUCCAACGACCGCGGCGGCGGCUCCCCAGCGGGGCCCCCGGCUCCCGGCGCCAGGCGGCCAGCUGCAGAGAGGAACGGCGUGGCCGCAGCCCUGCCCCCCGGGCCGCCUGCGCUCCAGCCUUGCCAAGGCCUUUCCGUGGAGAGUCCUCAUCCUCCUCCCUCCACCCAGAAGAGCCCACCGAGCCUGAGCCCACUGGGCCCAGCCAAGCAGGGCUCCACCCCCCUCCUGAGCCCCGUCCUCAGCGACACUGGCGGAGCCGGGAUGGACGACCAGGAGGAGCCAAGAUACAAGGGCGCGCCCGCCGACGAGGCCUACUUCGUGGCCAGGGAGGUGCUCGCCACCGAGCGGACGCACCUGAAGGACCUGGAAGUGAUCACCGUGUGGUUCCGCAGCGCGGCGGCCAAGGCGGACGCCAUGCCCGCGGAGCUGACGCGCCUGCUCUUCUCCGCCGUGGACCCCAUCUACGAGGCGCACAGGGACUUCCUGCGCGAGCUGGAGCAGAGGCUGGCGCGCUGGGACGCCUCUGUCGGUGCCCAGGCCCCGGGCGGUCCGCGACGCAUCGGGGACGUGCUGCUCCGGCACACGCGGCGGCUCCAGGCGCUCAGCGGCCCUUUCCAGCGGCUGCACGAAGUGCUGCCGGAGCUGGAGGCGGCCAGCAGGCGGCUGCGGAGGCUGGAGGCGCUGCGCCGCGACUUCGAGCUGCAGAAGGUCUGCUACCUGCCGCUCAGCGCCUUCCUGCUGAGGCCGCUGCAGCGCCUGCGCCACUACCGCCUGCUGCUGCGCCGCCUGUGCGCCCGCGACCCCGGCCCGGACCCCGACCCGGACCCGGAGCGCGCCGACCGCCGCGACGCCCUCAAGGCCAUCACGGAGGUGACCUCCUCACUCCAGCACAGCCUCGUCCGGCUGGAGAACCUCCAGAAGCUGAUGGAGCUGCAGCGGGACUUGGUUGGCAUAGAGAACCUCAUCGCUCCAGGCAGGGAGUUUAUCCGCGAGGGCUGCCUCCACAAGCUCACCAGGAAGGGCCUGCAGCAGCGGAUGUUCUUUCUGUUCUCAGACAUGCUGCUGUACACGAGCAGAGGCGCCUCAGGGACCAGCCACUUCCGCAUCCGGGGCCUCCUGCCACUGCGCGGCAUGCUGCUAAUAGUGCUGGACCCACCGGUGGAAGAAGGCGAGAACGAGUGGUCUGUGCCGCACUGCUUCACCAUCUGCGCGGCUCAGAAGACAGUCGUGGUGGCCGCCGGCACCCAGCUGGAGAAGGACAAGUGGGUGUGCGACCUGAAGGCUGCCAUCGACGCGGCCAGGAGCGGCGGUGACACGGCCCUGGUGCCCCUGGGCAGCCUGCUGUGCGCCCUUCCCCGCAGGCCGGCGUCUCUCCCAGGCUCCGUCGACGAGGUCCCUUUGGAGCAGGCGUCAGAAGAUGAUGCUCGCUCUGCCCAGGACUCCCUGGAGGGGCCGGGCCAGCACCGGGCCAACACCACCGUGCAGGUGUGCUGGUACCGCAACACCAGCGUCUCCAGGGCUGACCACAGCGCAGCCGUCGAGGUAGGGGUGCUUCAACUGAGCCCGAGGCGGUUCUGCCCGCGUGCCCUCGCCGACCCCGCCGCCGGGUGUAGGGGGAGGGCUGGGCGCCUGCCGAGCGCGUGCCUGCCGCCUUCCAGGACGACUACCCCCUGGCCAGCCUCCCGCUGCUGGGCUACCGCGUGAGCCUCCCCAGGGAGGCCGACGGCAUCCACAGGGAGCACGUCUUCAAGCUCCAGUUCAAGUCCCACGUCUACUUCUUCCGGGCCGAGAGCAAAUACACGUUCGGGAGGUGGAUGGAGGUGAUUGAGAGCACCAGCACCUUGCCAGGGAGGGCCAGGACCCCCGAGGAGGAGGCAUGAAGCCCACCCUGCCCAGAUGAGCACAGAGCCAGGCAGAGCAGGGCCAGCACGUGCCCCCAGCAGGCUGGCCGUGGGUGGGUGGGUGGGCCUCACAGUGACACCCGGGAGGGGCAUCGUCCCCCUCAACACCCAUCCCUCCCCUGGCCCCGUGGCGCACCGGGAAGGACAUGCACACGGGUGGGAACAGGCCCAGCCCCGAGCACUGGCGAGAACAGCGCUCAGCGGCCCACUCCUGCUGCAGAGCAGGGCCCUGGCCUCGGGCUGGGAGAACUGGGGUGGGGGCAGGGCCCCAGGUCACAGCAGCCUGGAAGCCCAGCGGAAGCCACUCUGGUGCCCACCCCAAGUAGCUCUGCAAGGUGGAGAGCAGCGUCCCCUCACUUAGCAGUCUCGGGGUGGCACACGGUGCUGGUGUGUGCAGUUGAAAAUAAAAGCGUCUGCCCAUGCGCGCCGUCUCGUCUCCCCGUG